AACAUUUUAUUUUUACUGUCAUUUUUUAGGUGCUGUGGUCAUUACUGCAGUGUUUCUUGUUAGUGUCUUAGGACUCUUUGGUGGGUUUUGUAUCUCUAUGGCUUGUAUAGCAGUUUUCACAGAUAUUUUUAGGACAUAUCGAGAAAGAGGUGCAAAUCGUUGCUCGUUUUGCUGCUCAUCUGAAAGCGCUACAGGUCAGGCAUGCCAAUCUUGUUGCUAGAAUUUCCAUCUACUGAGAUGUCUGAAGUACAGUAUUAAACUUACAUGACCAUGCAUCUGAAGCCAUUCUUCAAAGAAAAUCUAAACAAUCGUAUAGAUAAAUAAAAUGACUAGAUGUAUUUCAUAUGUUUUUCACCCGAAUUACGUUCUUCAUUUGUUUUCUCCUGUAUUUGGUGUUUUUGCAAAAAUAAAAUAUCAUAUACUU